UAGUUUUUGGUUUUUUUUU
rnacentral:sRNA from 1 species